ACAUGACAUAACAUGUUUUGCUGAUGCUACAUCCUAGAACUGCUGGGAAGGGAAAGGCAGCCUGACAGAAUGCGUUGUCUUAAAGAUGACUCACAGGAUCUGACUCAGCCUGAUUCACCAGAGGAUGUGGGGGGAUUUGAUCAGUGGAGAACUCUGCAUGUUCCCAGAGGGAAGGAGUUUACCUAGCGUGUCUAAUAGAGCAACAAGUCACGUCCCAUGGCUCCAGGCCUGCUAUUCCGCAGCAUACCAAAAUCAACCACAGACUGCCUCCAACCACACCCAAGUCAGAGGUGGAGGUGGGGCUUCUCUCUGCCCCCUGGAGAGGUAGAAUCUAUGACCAAAUGGGCAGAGCUUAUUCCUCACCAAUGAUUCAAAGGCUAAGGCAGCCAGAGCCCGGCAGACUUGUGGGUUUGCUUCCAUUCUGCAAGAAAGCUUGUGUCCAGGGCAAGUCUUUGAAGAACAAAUUCAGGCAGAGUCUUUGCCUUCACGCUGGUGUCACCUUCACCCAUUCUCCAUCAGCUGUACAGACAGUCACAUCUCCUCUAUGGGUGCUGGGAGGCCCCAGGGAAUUCUGACUGAUUUUCUUUUUUAAUAAUCAAGUUUACUUGCAAGGUUCCUGCUCAGUAUCCCAGCCUCAUGUGAGGGAAACUGAAACCAUCAACAAAAGUGUAUGUUUGUAAGCAGAGGCUAUCUAAAGCACUCCUUUCCUGCACGCCCCAAUUCCCCUUCUGUAAGGGGCGGGAUGAGGGACUGGUCCUGAUUAUCUCCAAGAUCUUUGCAGGCUCUGACCUCCCAUGGUUCUCUGGGCUUCCAAGGAACCAAAAGGGGAAAUACAGAUACCGUUUGUUCUCGGUCUCCAUUUCACUGUGCAGUCAUUUUUCCCGCUACCCCCCAAAACACGCUCUUUCUAAGUCUUGGUUAAAGAUUUUCUAUCUGAGCCAAUCAGCCAAUGAUCAGGAGAUUCUGUCUGUGUGUCCUGUGUUUACCUCUAUCAGUGUAUUAGACUACAAGCCUUUGGUGUUCUAGAGUCAGUUCAUGUUAGCUAGCAAGAGCUGAUGGUGUGCAUUUCUUCCUGACUCCUCAUGUUGGUACCAUAAAAUCAACCAUUGUGGGAAUGUUUAUAGCAUGGAAAUUGGCAAGAGCUAGAAAGCAGGACAUUUCCCCUCCGGAAAACUGGUUGUUAAAAUUUGUAAGUACAUCCCUGCCGUAAGCUCUUGGAGGGCACUGAUCAAUUCCUAUAGCUCUCUUUACAUAUUACGAAACACGCUUUAGAGUUUACUGAAACUUUUAAAAGACAAGCACAGAUGACAUGUCAAGUCACAGAUUUUUCCCAGUUUGACUAUAAAUAAGUUGUAAUCUCCAUUAAGUGCCACAGUCUACCCACCUUGCCUCCUCCUUAUAGUGUUAGAUUAUUACUGUUCUAUUUUUCUUACUGAGGAGAUGCCUUAUCCCACCGCCCAUGCCUCUCUCAGUGGAUUCUUCUUCUCCUGGGUGUGCUAACCAGACCUCCUGAAAUAGGAAUCACAGGGGUUGUUUAAGAAAGGAAACUUGCUUUUCAUCUUCCCUUGGAUCCAGGAUAAUUAUUGAUAAUUGUCCUCUUCCAACAAGAGAGUUACAAAUCAAGAUGACCUAAGGCUUGUCUGAGAGGGAUGAAAAGGAGCAGAUGUAGGAUUAUUGGUGAGGAAGUGGGAUACUUGCCAGACUGAAUCCAGCAGGCAAGCUACUUGUCAGCUGGACCCACGAAAGCCCCAAAGAAGGAAAGAAAGAGACGAUGUCCAGUGUUUACAACGUACCGUGUUCACUACAUCUGUCCUACAAUUAGCAGCACACGGGCUUUCCUAUUUCUUGUGCCUCCUAACUUAGAAGUUCUUAACAACAGCUUGACCUUGGUUGUCCUCUCUAAAUUUUCAGCCUGGAACCUAAAACAUAGUAGGCAUUCAAUAAACAUUUAUUGAAUU